CAUGAAAUAUGCUGAAAACCAAAGAAAAUAUAUUCUAUGAAAGAAGUUUCCUUUUCAGUCAAUCAACUGUAAAAUAUCAGAAACAUAGAAAGUUCAAACAAAAUAUUUUGGAUUUAAAUAUUUCUGUGUAGAACAGUGUAGAAACAACUGAAAUAUUGUAGCUGAAAUGCUAAGCCAUGGCAUGAAAUAUUAAUUGAGCACCUGGUGGGAAGGUAAGACCAACCCAGGGGAGUUCAGGUGCAUGCAAUGCACUGAGUGAUUGGAAAGAGUGGAGCCAGGAUCCACCCCUUCCCAGAGCUAAUUUAAAGGUUGACAGUAGAGAAGAAAGUAUCUCACUGGAGAUCUUUUCCUACCUGUGGCCUUUUGAAGGAGAUUCAUCCUGGGCUGUUCCCAUGGACUCUUCCUAUACACGUUGUCAGACUGGAUGAUCAAGAUGGGCCCUUCGAGCCCUGAAGCCCAUGGAGCUCUGAUCUAAAAUGACAUGAUCACACACCGCUUUCCCCUCAGCAAUGCCGACUUCAGUGCACCAGGUAUCUGUGCCAAGUCUGACUCUACAGUUGAAAGAGAGAUACGUAAAUUCUGGAUCUUAAAAUGCUAAAUUGCCCUUAAAUUAUGGUCACAUGUGUCUGCAUAGGAGAAUAAAUCGGAACUCACCAUAGCUCUGGCCUCAUGGUCCAACUGCAGGCAACAAGCCCCACUUCUUCAUUCAGGUAUCUCUGAAACUCCACGAAGUGAAAUGAAUAUCAAUGAAAGAAAGGAAAAUAAAGGUUUUUGAAGAUUCAUAGAAAAAAAUUGCAUUUCCCAGAAUCACCAGUCCUGAUGGUGACCGUGCUCUUGCAGCCACGUUUGUGCAGAGAGGAGAUCCUAGAGCACUGCCCACUUCCUGUCUGUGCUCUGAUGCUGUCAGCCUUGGAGGAGCCUGCAUGUAGGGCAGAGCUGAAGCUCUCUGCCUGGGUACCAAAAGAGCAUAGAAGCUCAGAGGCCAGGGUGUACCAGAGAGAAAGCUGCCUCAGAAGAAAAGGGUUUAGUCUAGUUUAGAUGUCAAGAGACUGAAGAAAGCAUGGUUCAAGAGUGGUAGUGAAAUUCCAUUGUCAUUCAUGAAAAUCUACUAGUUCUCCUAAUAGUUUUCCUGGGGAAUCAAAGCACCUGAAUUGCAUGUGCACCUGGCUUCUGUGGUUGGAAUACUGGAUGACUGCCCUUGAAAAUUCCACCUGGUUCAUUAGUUAACUGAGAGAUGCCCAGAGGUUAUAUAUAGAAUAUCACUUCAAAUUUUGGACAUAGGAUCUGAAGGAAACCAGUUUCAGUGAAGGCCAUUAAAAUUAACUGGAAUUCAGUGUAGUGAGUACAUUGCAACUGCACAAAAGCAGUGAGCCAUGCAAAAAAACAAUAUCUACAGCUUCAUUGAUAAACAAUAGAAAUCUCUAUAAAUGGUACACCACAGAAAAUCACAAUUAAAAUGAUGUUUUCAUCCUUUUACUCUAUUUCUGUAACGGCUGUAACAGCUGAAGUAUCAUGUCAAAAGCAUUAAUAUGCCUGGGCCCUGAAUCAUUCUACAUGUAGGCUAGAUUUACCUGGAUCAUGGUUGUAUAUUUCAAAAAGUGAAGAAAAGUGAUGCUGCACUUGAAAUUUAAUUUUGACAGGAAAUAAAUGAAUUAGUAUUUCAGUGCUUAACUAGUUCAGAUUUAUAUCUUGAAUUGUACUGAGAAGAAAAUUAAA